rnacentral:rRNA from 1 species
CUGUGAUGGGGAGAAGACAUUGAGUCUUCGAGUCGUUGAUUUCACACUGCCGAGAAAAGCCUCUAGAUAGAAAAUAGGUGCCCGUACCGCAAGCCGACACAGGUAGUCAAGAUGAGAAUUCUAAGGUGAGCGAGCGAACUCUCGUUAAGGAACUCGGCAAAAUGACCCCGUAACUUCGGGAGAAGGGGUGCUCUUUAGGGUUAACGCCCAGAAGAGCCGCAGUGAAUAGGCCCAAGCGACUGUUUAUCAAAAACACAGGUCUCUGCUAAACCGUAAGGUGAUGUAUAGGGGCUGACGCCUGCCCGGUGCUGGAAGGUUAAGAGGAGUGGUUAGCUUCUGCGAAGCUACGAAUCGAAGCCCCAGUAAACGGCGGCCGUAACUAUAACGGUCCUAAGGUAGCGAAAUUCCUUGUCGGGUAAGUUCCGACCCGCACGAAAGGCGUAACGAUUUGGGCACUGUCUCAACGAGAGACUCGGUGAAAUCAUAGUACCUGUGAAGAUGCAGGUUACCCGCGACAGGACGGAAAGACCCCGUGGAGCUUUACUGUAGCCUGAUAUUGAAAUUCGGCACAGCUUGUACAGGAUAGGUAGGAGCCUUUGAAACGUGAGCGCUAGCUUACGUGGAGGCGCUGGUGGGAUACUACCCUAGCUGUGUUGGCUUUCUAACCCGCACCACUUAUCGUGGUGGGAGACAGUGUCAGGCGGGCAGUUUGACUGGGGCGGUCGCCUCCUAAAAGGUAACGGAGGCGCUCAAAGGUUCCCUCAGAAUGGUUGGAAAUCAUUCAUAGAGUGUAAAGGCAUAAGGGAGCUUGACUGCGAGACCUACAAGUCGAGCAGGGUCGAAAGACGGACUUAGUGAUCCGGUGGUUCCGCAUGGAAGGGCCAUCGCUCAACGGAUAAAAGCUACCCCGGGGAUAACAGGCUUAUCUCCCCCAAGAGUUCACAUCGACGGGGAGGUUUGGCACCUCGAUGUCGGCUCAUCGCAUCCUGGGGCUGUAGUCGGUCCCAAGGGUUGGGCUGUUCGCCCAUUAAAGCGGUACGCGAGCUGGGUUCAGAACGUCGUGAGACAGUUCGGUCCCUAUCCGUCGUGGGCGUAGGAAAUUUGAGAGGAGCUGUCCUUAGUACGAGAGGACCGGGAUGGACAUACCUCUGGUGUACCAGUUGUCGUGCCAACGGCAUAGCUGGGUAGCUAUGUGUGGACGGGAUAAGUGCUGAAAGCAUCUAAGCAUGAAGCCCCCCUCAAGAUGAGAUUUCCCAACUUCGGUUAUAAGAUCCCUCAAAGAUGAUGAGGUUAAUAGGUUCGAGGUGGAAGCAUGGUGACAUGUGGAGCUGACGAAUACUAAUCGAUCGAAGACUUAAUC